rnacentral:lncRNA from 1 species
CUCUCCUUGGAACCUAAUUUCUCUCCCUGUCUGCGCUGAUCUCCCCCCUGGCCCCGGAACCAACCUUUUUUGGUGAGACUGCAGAUUUUCUUUGGCCGGAGUCAUUUCAAAGUCCAAGCUCCUGAAGGACAUUACUGAUCAGAUCCCAUCCAACUUUAUAGAGAAUUUAAUUCUAUUGUAUUCUACUCCAUUUGGAAGAACUGAAUUGAAAAGGAAAAAAAUGAAGAAAGGAAAGGAGAAAGGAAAUAAGGAAGGAAGGAAGGAAGAAAGGAAGAAAAGAAGGAAGGAAGGAAGGAAGGAAGGAAGGAAAUAAAAUUCAAUUUAUAUGGCACAGAAAAAUCUAACAGCUGUGUAAAACAAGGACAAAAUAGCAUGGUUGUUAAGAAAAGCAAAUAUUACAAUCUCUGUUUUAUAGAUAGGAAAACUAAGAACC